rnacentral:snRNA from 1 species
AUCGCUUCUCGGCCUUUUGGCUAAGAUCAAGUGUAGAAAUAAGUAAAAUUUUCAUGCUUUUCUCAGACAUGUUUUACAGAUCUCCAUAUGAAAUUCUAUAUAUGUAAAAUUGUCAUCCAAUAUUCCACUCCUC